GAUUCUGUGAGGUAUGCAGAACAGAAGGGCAGUGAGUAUUCAUUCCAAGUGGAGGAAAUGACAGGCAGAGAAACAAAGAUUUUCAUGGGAUAUCCCAGUGAGGAAAAAGCAGGGAGAACUUCAGGAGCACAGGGGUUAGUUGCUUCUAAGCCAGCUAUCUCGAUGAGAGUUUGAAGAUCUACAUUGAAAUCUUUUACCUAAGAAACUUAGUCCUUACCCAUAAACCCAGGAGAAGAGGGGGAGCACGCAUCGGAGCUAGUAAAUAUAGAAAAAGUCAAACAUUCCUCAUCAGGGCCUCUGAAGAAACCAAAGAAACCAAAAAAACACCAAGGGAGAAAAUGUCCACUGAAACACGUGCCUGCCUGGGUGUGAGGAUAUCCUAUGACAGUCACUGUCGCUCAGGCAGCUGCUCUGAGAGGUUGCUGUUUAGAAACACAAUUUCACAACAAAACCAGCUGCUCAUUAGGAAGCUGCUUCAAACAUUUUGGAGCUACCUAAAGACGUAA
rnacentral:lncRNA from 1 species